GGGUAAGUGGUGGCCAGUAGGCUCAGGAAUAGAAGGGGUGCAAGGGUGAAACGGAAUUCGUUGGCGUAAAGCACAGGGAGGAGGGGGGGUAAGUUGGUUGUGAAACCUCAGGGCUUAACGUGGGAAGUGCAGUCAAGACUGCCUUGCUAGAGUGUGGAAGAGGGAAGCGGAAUUCCAGGUGUAGCGGGGAAAUGCGUAGAUAUCUGGAGGAACAUCAGUGGCGAAGGCGGCUUCCUUGUCCAACACUGACACUGAGGUGCGAAAGCGUGGGGAGCAAACAGGAUUAGAUACCCUAGAGUC
rnacentral:rRNA from 1 species